rnacentral:rRNA from 1 species
UAGUCCACGCCGUAAACGAUGUCAACUAGUUGUCGGAAGGAAUUGACCUUUCGGUGACGCAGCUAACGCAUUAAGUAUCCCGCCUGGGGAGUACGGUCGCAAGAUUAAAACUCAAAGGAAUUGACGAGGGCCCGCACAAGCGGUGGAGCAUGUGGUUUAAUUCGAUGCUACGCGAAAAACCUUACCUGGACUUGACAUCCCGGGCUACCCUAGGAAACUAGGGGUUCUCUUCGGAGACCCGGUGACAGGUGCUGCAUGGCUGUCGUCAGCUCGUGUUGUGAGAUGUUGGGUUAAGUCCCGCAACGAGCGCAACCCUCGUCGUUAGUUACCAUCAUUAAGUUGGGCACUCUAACGAGACCGCUAGGCUAUAAGCCAGAGGAAGGUGGGGAUGACGUCAAGUCCUCAUGGCCUUUAUGUCCAGGGCUACACACGCGCUACAAUGGAAAGUACAAUACGUCGCUACUUCGCGAGGAGAUGCUAAUCGUAAAAAACUUUUCUCAGUUCGGAUUGGAGUCUGCAACUCG